rnacentral:rRNA from 1 species
UACGGAGGGUGCGAGCGUUGUCCGGAAUCACUGGGCGUAAAGGGCGCGUAGGCGGCUUGAUAAGUAGGGGGUGAAAUUCUGCGGCUUAACCGCAGGGCGGCCUUCUAAACUGUCAGGCUUGAGCACAGUAGAGGCAGGUGGAAUUCCCGGUGUAGCGGUGGAAUGCGUAGAGAUCGGGAAGAACAUCGGUGGCGAAGGCGGCCUGACUGGGCUGUUGCUGGACGCUGAGCGCGACAGCGUGGGGAGCAAACAGG